GACGAACGCUGGCGGCGUGCCUAAUACAUGCAAGUAGAACGCACAGUUUAUACCGUAGCUUGCUCCACCAUAGACUGUGAGUUGCGAACGGGUGAGUAACGCGUAGGUAACCUGCCUGGUAGCGGGGGAUAACUAUUGGAAACGAUAGCUAAUACCGCAUAAUAUUAAUUAUUGCAUGAUAAUUGAUUGAAAGAUGCAACUGCAUCACUACCAGAUGGACCUGCGUUGUAUUAGCUAGUAGGUGAGGUAACGGCUCACCUAGGCGACGAUACAUAGCCGACCUGAGAGGGAGAUCGGCCAAACUGGGACUGAGACACGGCCCAGACUCCUACGGGAGGCAGCAGUAGGGAAUCUUCGGCAAUGGACGAAAGUCUGACCGAGCAACGCCGCGUGAGUGAAGAAGGUUUUCGGAUCGUAAAGCUCUGUUGUAAGAGAAGAACGGGUGUGAGAGUGGAAAGUUCACACUGUGACGGUAUCUUACCAGAAAGGGACGGCUAACUACGUG
rnacentral:rRNA from 1 species